UACGUAGGGUGCAAGCGUUGUCCGGAAUUAUUGGGCGUAAAGAGCUCGUAGGCGGUCUGUCGCGUCUGCUGUGAAAAUCCAGGGCUCAACCCUGGACCUGCAGUGGGUACGGGCAGACUAGAGUGCGGUAGGGGAGAUCGGAAUUCCUGGUGUAGCGGUGAAAUGCGCAGAUAUCAGGAGGAACACCGAUGGCGAAGGCAGGUCACUGGGCCGCAACUGACGCUGAGGAGCGAAAGCAUGGGGAGCGAACAGG
rnacentral:rRNA from 1 species